GGAGAAGGGGAGCUACGGGGGCCGUGCAGGGUCCAAACGCCUCACGUAGGCGGCGGCGCCACGGUCUUCGGGGUCACAGGGAAGAGAAGGGCUCUCCUCAAGCGGGUGGAAGGAGGGAGGCCUCCCGAGGGAAUGAGACUCCAGGCCACUCCCCCGCAGCAAGGCAGGAUCACCUGCGUCGCGGAGAGCAGUUAGAGGGCCCUGGAGUGGAAAAGGGCAGUGGGACCUGGUAGCUUGGGUUCCCUGCAACUUGGGGUUCGACCUCCAGGCAAUGAAGUAGGGGUGGUCCUGCAAGUCAAGAUUCCAGUAGCAAGAGUGCAUCAGAUCUCUGUCGUAGUGGACUAAUUUUACAGGCGAAGUUAAGUGACUUACCCAAAACCUCACAGCUAAUAAACGGCAGAGCCGGCACCCAGCUUUCCAAUUCUGUGAGCUUACCAGCGCAUCACAUUAUCUCCAUAAAUCCCCCUGAUUCAACUAAUAUUAGACGCCCCGCAGGUAAGAUGCUUCAGAGUUAGAGGGGAGUUGAAGAUACCUUUGCCUUCAAAGAAGUAAGGAAUAAAACAAAGAUAAAACAGACAGUAAAAGACAAACCAUGAUAGGUGCCACGUGAAAAGUGGCAGAGUACUGCCGAGAAUCAAAGAACCGUGUAUAUCUGUCUUGGGGAUAAGGAAAGAAAGGCAGCAUGAAGGAGUAGGCAUUUGGGAUUGACCUUGAAGGAGAGAGGGAGAGUUUUACAGCAAGAAGGGAUAGCAUGAGAAUAUAUAUGAAGGCGAAUCAGUGAAAGUUGUGUUGGGGAAAGACCAAAGACUCCAGGGUAUGUUGAGAGGUAGAAAAGACAAAGGGGUAUGGGGCCUAAGAUACCAAAUGGAUGAAUUUAUAUUUAAUUCAGUAUUUUGAGUUUUUAUAGUUCAGAAGUUUGGGACAAGAAAAGGAAAGUUUUUUUUUCUUUGUGCUAUUGAUUUAUUUGUGAGGGGAAGCAGAAAUUAGAGGUGGAAAAACUGACAGAUCUACUGUAGGCCAGGUAAAAGGUAAUGAUGAGUCUGACCUAAAGGGACAGCCAGGGGGAUUUAAAAGAGCAUAGUUGAGAGAUGAUGUGCAUGCAGAAUCUAUAGAAUUUGGCAACUGAUUGAUUAAUUGUGGGUAGGAAGAGAGAAAUCAAAGAAAGUGGAGGUUUUGAGUUUGUAGAUAAUUGCAAGGGAGAAAAGAGACAAUUACAAAGGAAAGGAGAAGGAGCUACUUCUUGAGAGAAGAUCAGUUUAGAUUUGGACAUUUUAAGAAUUCAAAGGGUUGUCAAGACAGCCAGAGAGAAUGGACACUAAUAAGUUAGAAAUAAAGGUUUUGUAAUAUGGGAAAGAUGACUGAACUAGAAAAUAGACUCAUAAAUAAUCAGCCUAGGAGUGAUAUUGCUGUGAGAUAAAAGAAGAAAACAAAGGUCAGAAUCUUGGAAAACACCCUCUUUAGAGUCUCGCUACUCAAAACGUGGUCAGUGGCCCAGCAGCACUGACAUGAGGACGUUAGUUAGAAACUCAGAAUCUCAGGCUCCACCCCAGACCUGCUGAACCAGCAUCUUCAACUUAACAAGAACCCGAAGAGAUUUGUGUCACAUCAAAAAGUUUGAGAAGCUCUGAUCUAGGUGAGCCAAGCCAGCAAAGAAAGGGGGUGGAGCAGAAAAUGGGAGGAGAAUAGGGUAAUGCAGAAUCAUCAAGACAAGGUAAAUUGGAGUUUCACAAAAACAGAGCUGGAAGGAGUGUUGAUCAACAAUAUCCAAAACCACAGAGGUUGAAAAGCACAAGGAAAGAAGCUGGACCCUGGACACGGUGACUCUGAUUCAAUUAUGCAGAUGACCACAAGCCUCUGGGGUUGGCAGAGCCACAAGAAAGAAGGUGCCUGGAUGAAGGAGAGCUACCCACUGACCUGGAUACCGAAUUAUAGCUAUUGGAAUCCUGGAUCAUUGUGGGAAAUGAAAGAUACUUCAAUGGAAUCAGCAGCCAUUGAUCCAAUGCCAGCUCCAAGACUGGAACGUCGCAAUGAUAGUUCCAAGGCGGAAAUUUGACGUAAUUCUUUUCGACACAGUUUUACAGGUCUGGAUGCCCAUUUUAAUUCUUCUGAAAGCAUGCCUCCUUCUUCUGGUUUCAGGACUCCAUCUCCAGCCUCAUGAUCUAAAAAUAAUGCCCAAACCAAGACAUUAGAUAUUAUUUCCUCAAAAUUAGGUAUUUUAAUCAAAACAUCUUAACGUAAAUACAUUAUUAUCAUCC